rnacentral:lncRNA from 1 species
CUCAUACACACACACCCAACACCCCUCAUACAAACACACACAGCACCCCUCAUACACACACACACAGCACCUCUCAUACACACACACACACCACCCCUCACACACACACAUACACAACACCCCUCACACACAGCACCCCACACACAAACACAUACACUACACCUCUCAAUGCAGUAUGUGUGUGUAUUCAGCGGUCUGUGUGUGUGCGUGUAUUCAGCAGUCUGUGUGUGUGCGCGCAUGUAUUCAGCAGUCUGUGUGUGUGUGUAUUCAGCGGACUGUGUGUGUGUGUGUGUAUUCAGCGGACUGUGUGUGUGUGUGUAUUCAGCGGACUGUGUGUGUGUGUGUAUUCAGCGGACUGUGUGUGUGUACCCACCAGUCUGUCUGUAUGUGUAUUCAGCAGACUGUGUGUGUGUGUGUGUAUUCAGCAGUCUCUGUAUUCAGCAGUCUUGUGUGUGUGUAUUCAGCAAACUGUGUGUAUGUAUUCAGCAGUCUGUGUGUGUAUGUAUUACAUUUGUUUGAGAUACUAAUAAAUAUAAGCUUAAUUUUAUCUAUUUCUAUCAUUGAACUCUCUGUUGUUGUGUUCUUUUAAAACAAAAGUUGUUAAUUAGUUCGGACAACAGUACGAGUUGUUUUUUUCUAAACUUAAACCUCAGUAUUGAGGUUUAAUUGCCGUGUUGGCACUUUAAGGAAAGCAAAGUUGGCAUGUAUUGCGGUUUGGGCACUCGGGCUCAAAAAGGUUUGCCAUCACUGUCCUAGAGGGACCUGGCACCCAGACCACUUCAUUAAGCUGAAGUGGUCUGGGUGCCUAGAGUGGUCCUUUAAUAAGUGUUGUCUAUGUAUAGAGUAGGAUAUAAAAUUGAGUAAUAUUCAAGGUUGUCGAGAUCAAGGAGUGAAUUCUUAAUAUAGCUUGAUGGAAAGACACAGUAUAAAAAAUAAAUAAUAAAGAUUUACAGAUAUUUACAGAUAUCUGGUCUCUUGGCAAAUGGUAGAGAAAAUAAAUAGCGUUAUGCUUGUGGUUCAGUAGAUUACAUGAAUCAACUGGCUAUAAGUCUGCAUUGGCUGUAAUGAAAGAGUGUUGCAAAAUUGUUGCCACUGAAACUAAGUAAUCCUAUGGCAAUUGUAACGAUCAUUCCUUGUACAGGCUUAAAGUAUACUUUUGCUGAUAAUUCUGCAAGUCACGGUUUGAGGUUGGCUGGACAUGUAAUUUGAAUCUAGCUCAGCGGGAUAGUAUUGCUAAGGUAAACACUUGCUACUAAACCAAAGUACAGACAUGAUGAUCGUUUUUUGGGUUUCUACCAUUCUAAGUGAUCUCGAGGAAUGUCUAAACAUUGGAGGAAAAACAUUUAGAAAGAAUUAGUGCUACGAGUGUAGAACCAUGCUUAGGAUGCUGGUUGCCUACACCAUAGUGAAAGUGCCCUGUGAAGAAGAGAGAAAUCGACGCGCGUUUCGAUGCACUAGCAUGUGCACCUUCGUCAGGGGUGAAAGUUGUACUGACCGAGAGACCUCUUAAACAGGUUGCUUCCUUGCUGUAAUCGGAUACAUGACCAAUCAACCGUUGACACGUUUGAGAGGGUGGUACCGUACCGAUGACGUCACGCAUCAAUGCAAAUUCAGGCUUGUAAAGUGACCAAUCAGCGGGCGGAUCGUCACUCUAAUAAUAUCAACCAAUUGGGUCUAGAUUUAGGUUAUGCCGAGAAUAUGCCUUUAGUUUCUAGAUGGUUAUCGGUGAUACUUGUCUCGGACAUAUUUCUACAGAACCCAAAAUUAGCGUUAAAGGCUUUCUCUCAUACUCGUUGAAAAUGUGUAAUUUGUGCAGGGGAGAGGGGAUCUGUGCAGGGGAGUCAGGGGGAUCUGUGCAAGGGAGGCAGUGGAAAAGGGGAUGUGUGCAGGGGAAAAGGGGAGGGGGCUGUGAAGGGAGAGAAGGGAUCUGUGCAGGGGAGGGAGGGGGACUUUCAGGGAGGCAGGGGUGAGGGGAUCUGUUCAGGGGAGGGAGGGAUCUGUGCAGGGAGGGGGACUGUCAGGGAGGCAAGGAGGAGAGGGUAUCUGUGCAAGGGAGGCACAGCUAGAGGGGAUGUGUGCAGGGGAGGCUGGGAGAGAGGGGAUCUGUGCAGGGAAGGGAGGGGGACUGUAAGUGAGUUGGGGGAGAGGGGAUCUGUGCAGGGCAGGGAGAGAGGGAGGGGGACUUUCAGGGAGACAGGGUAUCUGUGCAGGGAAGGCACGACUAGAGGGGAUGUGUGAAGGGAAGGCACGGACAGAGGGGAUCUGUGCAGGGAGGCAGGCUGUCAGGGACAGAGGGGAUCUGUGCAGGGGAGGGAGGGGGACUGUCAGGAAGGGGAGUGGGGAAGGGAUGUGUGCAGGGGAGGUAAUGGAAACGGGGAUGUGUGUAGGGAAGGCAGGAAGAGAGGGGAUCUGUACAGGGAGUGGGGCUGUGAAAUGAGAUCUGUGAAAUGAGAUCUGUGCAGGGGAGAGAGCAAGGAAAUGAGAUCUGUGAAAUGAGAUCUGUGCAGGGGAGAGAGUCAGGGGGAGAGGGGAUCUGUGCAGGAGAGGGAGUGGGGGUGUCAG